GCCGGGCUGGGUGGCGCGGCGGUCCGAGCUCCCCGCCCUGCUGGGCCGGCGUCGUGUUCUCUCUCGUACCGCCAAAGCUCAGUCUCGGCAGUGUCGCUCGCGCCCUUGACCAGCGAGCCCGCUGGAAUUUAGUGACUGGGAUCGACGUCGCCGUUCGCAGUAAAGGGGAGCGCACAGACUCGGGGAAGGUCCCGUUCUCUGGUGAGGAGGUGGCCGCCCGCGCUCUGGAAGCAGGGGAGUUCAGGGUUACCUGGAUCAUUUCCACCCCUUUUGGACUUCAGAAGCUGUGUGGGUACCUACAUCCCAUCUGUAGCCUCGAACCGGCUCCUCCUGGGGAGGAGAGUGCCUGGGGUAAGAAGCUCGGAGAUCAUCCUGACAUCACUGCAACCAUGAUUUCACCAGGCUCGUGCACUGUGAGGUUAUUGCGAUCUGAAAUCUCUGCUGCUGGAAAGAGGAAUUUAUUCACAAGACUCUAAUCUAGGAUGACCCUUCACUCGUACAAACCUGCUGACGAGUGAUGGCAGUGUCCCCCGAGUCGAGCUCACAACAUGCUCAGGAGCUGCCUUCCUCUGGAGCAUCCUGCAUCACAGCCCCAGGGCCCUGAGUGCAAGGUGUAUCUGUGAACCAACAGUGAAGCACACACCAAGUGCCUCUUGGGACAUUUUGGGUAACCACUCUGGAGACAACUGGUAUGAAUCUCCAUCAGGCAGAGCUGCAUGAAGCUUCUUUGGCAUCGCAGCACACAAAGACUGGUGCGACCAACUUCUGUUUUCAUGAGUAUUGCACUGAGCUCGGAUGGGGCAACUCGGAGAAGAGGCUGAAGGUGCAACUUGAAGUGAAACCAGGAGCCACACAGCAGCUCAGGGGGGAGGUGGGGGAAUUCUGGAAAUGCUUGACAGAAGCUGCUGAUGCCUGAGCUGACAGCAGGGGCUAUGCACAGUCCAGACCCCCAGAACUCCUUCCCAGCACUCCCUCAUGGAAUUUUGAUGAGCACAUAACACAAUUCACAAUUCUAGGAUGCCUAAUACAUCCUAGAAAGAAGGAAGCUUUGAAGGAUCCCGCCAAACCAAAUCACAACUGCAGAACAGUCAGCUCUUUUAGGCGUUAGUGCCCCUGAGCAGCUGCUGGCAAGGACAGAGGGAACAGGGUUUGCAAGAUCAGCUCUUGGCCUUUUUGGGGCACCUUCGUUGCUGUGCCAGAAGGAAGAGGAAUGUUAUAGCUGGAACAUUUUGCAGAGGCAUUUCUCUUGGCAGGUUUAUGAUCUUUUCUGCCUCAGCUGGAAAGCUAGCAGGACUGAAUAAAUCUCCAGGCCAACAAAAACCCAGGAUGUUUUCACAAUUGCCAGGUUUUUAUUAAUUUACAAUAUUGAAUUUUUUCCUUCCUAACAACAGCUUCCACUUAGGUGGGGAGUCCUUUGGUAUGUUUGGGUGUGCAAAGCCAGUAAAACUCUGUGAGGGUCACCUGCCAAAUAUUUGUGCCAUUAAUGCCAGUAAACUGCAAAAUGUGAGAAGGUGGAUUUGGUGCUUUCACUUGUCAGGUCUUGCAGUGCUUUGCAAAAGAAAGGAACUGCCUACUGCCCCCAUGCUACAGAAGGCCCUGGCUCUGGGAGCAGAGCUGGCCACGUCACCCAGCUGAUGGGACAUGAGUCUCUUGCACAGCCUGAAAGUUCCACCAGCACUUGGUGCAAACAGAGGCUCUUCCUCCAUCCCAUUCUCUUUAAGUUCUCAGUGUUUCUGGCAUAAAUACAUACUGGCACCUCCUUGGCUUUAAAGGACCCAAGUGUUGCCAGAACCUGAGCAAGCUGAUCUAUUACUAUGACAUUUCCUACUGCUUCUGGAAUGAAACACCACUAUUUUUAUCUAUGUUUUGGGACCUGUCAACCCAUUCCAUAACAAGAGUUAAAUGAGCUGCAGAGACCUAAGCAGCAGGGCAGGGGUGUUUUUUGGCUGGGAGAUGGUGUGGGGGAUUCUGGCAGGACUGCCUGGGCAGGGGUACUUCUACCUCAAGGAGGGGAGAAAGGCCAGGAGCUGAGCUGUCCCUUGGCAAUGGGCAGCACAUAAAGCAGUGUCUGCAUGAACCUGUGGUGGCAGUGGCUCCGUCUGACACUUCACCACCCACCUUUUCACACCCAUCUCAGUGGGUUGCUGCGCCCCAGUACAGCCCAUGGUCCAAGCACCUCCUUUGCUGGUGGCUUUACCCAACCCCUCAACUGAGCUCCUUUCCAUCACCCACUGAGUCAAUGGGGGCAGCAAAUGGAGCUUGUGUCUGUAUUCCCACUUUGGGCCCCUCUGCCAUGGCAUUUGUCUCCUCUCUGCAGCCCAGGUGCUCCUUGGCCAUCGGCACUGUGCCAGCUGUGGCUCUGGCUGCGCAUCUGCAGGGAAACACUGGACAGCAGAUGUGGCUCAACAACCCCCUCUGCAGAACUGAGGGGGCCAGUGCAGUUUUUCAGCUGUUUUCUGGCCCUCAGGAGCUGCAAUCCCAAAUGCAUCUUUUUUGUCUUAGUGACACAGAUCAUGAUGAAGGCAGACAUGUGGGUGCAAGCUGACACCUGCAAAUUGGGAACAGGUCCUAUCCUGUAGAACCUCUUCUCCUUGGGGACAAGCCGAUGGGGCAGAUCACACCCUGGGAACACUGGGAAGGUGGGAUGUGAGAUCUAGCCCAGCAGUGGAGUGUGGCCAUGAGGCUUCCCACAGCUGAUUACUCCCUUUGGAGUCUCCCAAAGCCAGUGUGGCAAGCAGGGCCCUUCCCCACCAAGUAACAACUAAUGGGGAAUAUCUUCAAGUGAUUAAAAAAUUUAAACAGGUUAAUUAUUUCCAAGAAGAGAAAAGAAGAAUUAAAAUGGCUUCUGUGGGUACAUUUAAAAUACAAUCAAUAAUUUAUCAGAGAAUUUUUGUUCAACAAUGAGAAAUUAGGAGGCUUGAAACCCUCCCAAAUUUUAUCUGUCAGGGAAAAUGUUUAAAUUAUUUAUUUGGCUUCCUGUGACUGGUGCUGGGGGAGCAGCACCACCAGCCAGCCCUGGUCCUGCAAGAGCUCCAUAGACAGGUGACCUUGACCCAUCCGUGCACCAGUGAGGACCUCCCAUCCCUCCCUCUGCACCCUGGCACAGGGCUGGGCUUGCAGCAGGGGCUUGGGACGGGCGCUCAGGGAGCCAUUCCCAGAGCACUUGAGGGGCUUUGGGCAGGCUGAGUGCCAACAGCAGGAGCCCACCCCUGGGAUGUAACUAACCCCUAAGGAAUAUGGCAAAGUUGAAAAUUAAAGAGAAGCAGCUGGAGUUCAUCAUCCCCAUGAAAAACUCUGCGUCCCACCCAUAAAGGAAGGGGUGUCUGAGCUGCUCUGAAAAAUCCUUCAUCGUCUGUGGAAAUGUGCCUAGUUUUACAGAAAAAAUAAAUACAGUGCAUUGAAAAUAAAUGGCAUUAUUAGCAGAAAGGGAGUCUCUAAUUAACCAGAUAUAGUCCAUUACUGUAGCCUUCAAUUCAUUAAAUUACAUAAUUACAUAAACCCACUGUUGAUGUGCUAUUCAGUAUAUCUGGUAUUGUCUUCCUGAUAAUUAGCUCCAUAAUUGUCAGUUUGACAGGGUAAUUAAAAAUGUUUAAAGAUGUUGUGUCAGCCUUUUCUCCUUUGCUGAGCUCAGUUGGAUGUCUCUGGAAGAUGAUUUUCUACCCAAUUCCACCAUGGUUUUGUUUUUGAUUUAUACCAGUGUGUUACAGGAAUGACCAGGCUCAUGGAUUACUUUGAUAUUCCUGCUAGGCUGAUUUUUAAGGGUAGGAGAAAAAUAACUCCAGAUGUCAUUUUCAUUUACUUUUAGGAACUCUGUGGUCCCAUCCCCUGGUUUGUGCUACCGGUGACGUGACUUUCAGUUUUAUGGGCAGAGUGUUGUGAAAUCUGACAUUUGUAGCCCUAAAUCUCGGUUCUGUUUGCUGUGUAAAACCUUUCAUCCCACAUGCAUUUUUUAUGAAGAGAUGCAGAAAGGCAGGAGAUGCAGGCCGUGGCUCUGUGCGGAGGGGGCAGCUCAGCGGUGUGGGCGGCCGGGGCCGGGCUGUGCCCGGCUGUGACGAGGCUUCAGCUGCGUGGGCUUGGGCACAGGCGUGACAUGACGGCGGUGAAAUGUCACGGAGAAGCACGGGACCCGUGGGUCGUUGUGCCAUUGGGGGGGUGUAGGUGGCAUGAUGCCCCGGGCAUGGUGCUGGGGAGCAGGACAGGAGCCUGGGACUGAUCAACUAGCAGGGGAGACCGCCUGGGAACAGUGCAGACGAGCCUGAUGCUGUGAAUGUGCUUUAACAGAGGUGGUUUCUGGAGUUCUACAUGGUAGUCGCUCUGAGUUCUGUUGUUUUAGGGCAGUGAUUGCCACUUUGGAUGGUCAAAACCCUGAAUGGUUUCUCUUUUCAACAAAAUAAAGCCUAAUAUUCAUUGCUGAGAAGUGAUAAAUGUAUCUAUCCUCACACUCAGGAGUUUUGCCAGCUGGGUUUUGGCUGGAUGAGAGACUGUUUGUGAAAGCUUUCAUGGAUUUUUGAAAAUAACAUGUUUUG